AGAGUUUGAUCCUGGCUCAGGACGAACGCUGGCGGCGUGCUUAACACAUGCAAGUCGAACGAGUUCCAUCCGGCAGCAAUGCCGGUGAAGAUCUAAGUGGCGAACGGGUGAGUAACACGUGAGCAACCUGCCCCGAAGACCGGGAUAACAGCGGGAAACCGCUGCUAAUACCGGAUGCCCCCACCGGAUCGCAUGGUCUGGUGAGGAAAGGAUUCUGCUUCGGGAGGGGCUCGCGGCCUAUCAGCUUGUUGGCGGGGUAACGGCCCACCAAGGCGACGACGGGUAGCCGGCCUGAGAGGGCGACCGGCCACACUGGGACUGAGACACGGCCCAGACUCCUACGGGAGGCAGCAGUGGGGAAUAUUGCGCAAUGGGCGAAAGCCUGACGCAGCGACGCCGCGUGGGGGAUGAAGGCCUUCGGGUUGUAAACCCCUUUCACCAGGAGCGAAAACAGACGGUACCUGGGGAAGAAGC
rnacentral:rRNA from 1 species